AAGGUAUGCUUAAAGAGGGGCUUGCGCCACAUUAGUUAGUUGGUAGGGUAAAAGCCUACCAAGACGAUGAUGUGUAGCUGGACUGAGAGGUUGAACAGCCACAUUGGGACUGAGACACGGCCCAAACUCCUACGGGAGGCAGCAGUAGGGAAUUUUCGGCAAUGGAGGAAACUCUGACCGAGCAACGCCGCGUGAACGAUGAAGUAUUUCGGUAUGUAAAGUUCUUUUAUUGAAGAAGAAAAAGUAGUGGAAAAACUAUAUUGACGUUAUUCAAUGAAUAAGCCCCGGCUAACUAUGUGCCAGCAGCCGCGGUAAGACAUAGGGGGCGAGCGUUAUCCGGAAUUAUUGGGCGUAAAGGGUGCGUAGGCUGUUAGAUAAGUCUAUAAUUUAAUUUCAGUGCUUAACGCUGUCUUGUUAUAGAAACUGUCUUGACUAGAGUGAGAUAGAGGCAAGCGGAAUUCCAUGUGUAGCGGUAAAAUGUGUAAAUAUAUGGAGGAACACCAGAAGCGUAGGCGGCUUGCUGGGUCUUUACUGACGCUGAGGCACGAAAGCGUGGGUAGCAAACAGGAUUAGAUACCCUGGUAGUCCACGCCGUAAACGAUGAGUACUAAGUGUCGGGGUAAAACUCGGUACUGAAGUUAACACAUUAAGUACUCCGCCUGAGUAGUACGUACGCAAGUAUGAAACUUAAAGGAAUUGACGGGACUCCGCACAAGCGGUGGAUCAUGUUGUUUAAUUCGAAGAUACACGAAAAAUCUUACCAGGUCUUGACAUACUCUGCAAAGCUAUAGAAAUAUAGUGGAGGUUAUCAGGGAUACAGGUGGUGCAUGGUUGUCGUCAGUUCGUGUCGUGAGAUGUUAGGUUAAGUCCUAAAACGAGCGCAACCCUUGUCGUUAAUUGCCAGCACGUAAUGGUGGGGACUUUAGCGAGACUGCCAAUUAAACAUUGGAGGAAGGUGAGGAUUACGUCAAAUCAUCAUGCCCCUUAUGAUCUGGGCUACAAACGUGAUACAAUGGCUGUGACAAAGAGUAGCUGAAACGCGAGUUUUUAGCCAAUCUCAAAAAAGCAGUCUCAGUUCGGAUUGAAGUCUGUAACUCGACUUCAUG
rnacentral:rRNA from 1 species